AGUAGGUUGAGGAAGAGAAAAUAAAUAAUGAUUCCGGGAGUAGUGGCGAGCGAAACUGGAUCAGCCCAAACCUUACAUGUUCAUGUGUCUCACCAAGGUGAGAGUACAGGGAUUAGGGGUUAGGAAGUAGGAAAUAGGGAUUUAAUUCCAGUUCCCAUUUCCCGACCCCCAGUUCCCGUGACUCACUUUAGUGAGGCGCGUGUAUGGCUGAUAGGCUAAUGCAUAUAAGGGGUUGUGAUAUAACACGAGACCAAGCCAGAGUACUGAAGUUUACUUCAGGAGUCUGGUUUGCGAUAGCAGACUAUCAUUUGCUAGUAAGGUAAGAAAACGGCGUGGUUAGCUGAAUAGUUUGAAUGACUAACCAAAGGACGUGAAAGUCGCGUAAGCGAAAACGACGCUGACCUUAUACGUGUUUUAUCGAGUAGGACGGGGCACGAGAAACCCUGUUUGAAUCCGGCAGGACCACCUGCCAAGGCUAAAUAUAAUGUACGAUCGAUAGUGAACUAGUACCGUGAGGGAAAGGUGAAAAGAACCCCGGGAGGGGAGUGAAAUAGAUCCUGAAAUUGUGUGCUUACAAGGAGUCGGAGCGGAUUUAUUCCGUGACGGCGUGCUUUUUGUAGAACGAUCCAGCGAGUUAAUUUCAUACGCAAGGUUAAGUCAAGUGACGGAGCCACAGUGAAAGCGAGCCUGAAUAGGGCGAAUUAGUGUGUGGAAUUAGACCCGAAACCGGGUGACCUAACCAUGGGCAGGUUGAAGCUACUGUAAUAGGUAGUGAAGGACCGAACCGUCGUACGCAGCAAAGUGCUCGGAUGACCUGUGGUUAGAGGUGAAAUGCCAAUCGAACUCGGAGAUAGCUGGUUCUCCUCGAAAUAGCUUUAGGGCUAGCGUCAAUUAAUUAGCCAACGGGGGUAGAGCUCUGUCAAGGACUGGGGUCCGCAAGGAUACCCACCCUUAACAAACUACGAAUACCGUUGGUGGUACAUUGGCAGUUAGAACGUCGGGGCUAAGCUCGGCGCUCGAAAGGGAAACAGCCCAGACCAUCGUCUAAGGUCCCUAAAUAUACACUCAGUGGGAAACAAGGUGAGAUUUCUUAAACAGCUAGGAUGUUGGCUUAGAAGCAGCCAUUCAUUUAAAGAGUGCGUAACAGCUCACUAGUCAAGAGAUCUUGCGUGGAAAAUGUAACGGGGCUCAAGUGUAUUACCGAAGACAUGGAUGUGUGUGCCUCACCAAGGUGAGAGCACGGGAUUAGGGAUUAGGAAAUAGGAAAUAGGGAAAAGACGAUUUGUUUUUCUUCCCCCACUACCCAUUUCCCAAUCCCCACACCCGUGCAUCACUUUAGUGAGGCACAUACGUGGUAGAGGAGCGUUCCUGUCAGCAGUGAAGUUCAACUGGAAAGUUGGGUGGAGCGGCAGGAAGUGAGAAUGCUGGAAUGAGUAACCAUAAGACAUGUGAGAAUCAUGUCGGCCGUAAGAGCAAGGUUUCCUGAGCCAUGGUAAUCAUCUCAGGGUUAGUCGGGCCUAAGCCGAGGCGCAUAGCGUAGGCGAUGGACAUCAGGUUAAUAUUCCUGAACCGGUUAAAUUUUGUACACUGUUCACGGGGAAGUAGUCGAAGCGGAUUCAUGGUAUGUAUCCGUCCAAGUUAGCGGGAACGCAAAACGAGUGAAAGUUAUCCUUCGGGAUGACGAUUUUGAUCAAAGCCCUGGCUAGAAAAGCAGGUGUACGCGUGAAUUUAGCCGCCCGUACCGCAAACCAACACAGGUGCUCGAGUCGAGUAGACUCAGGCUUACGAGAGAACCUUCGCUAAGGAACUCGGCAAUACAGCGACCGUAACUUCGGGAUAAGGUCUGCCCCCACAUCAUUCGAUGUGAGCCGUGUUCAACUAACUUAGUAGAGGUGGUUAGAAUGAAUAAUGAGUACGCAUUAUAUAGAAAUAUAUAGUGUGUCAAAACCUUUUUUAAACACUAAAUUUUUACUGAGAUAGACAAAUCAUGAUAAUGAUUCUUGAGCACGACCUCUCAUAUCUAAUGAUGUGGGGGCCGCAGCAAAAGAGCCCACGGAACUGUUUACCAAAAACACAGGUCUCUGCUAAUUCGAAAGAAGAUGUAUAGGGGCUGACUCCUGCCCAAUGCUGGAAGGUUAAGGGGAGCGCUUUACGGUGCGAACUGAAGCCCUAGUCAAUGGCGGCGGUAACUAUAACCGUCCUAAGGUAGCGAAAUUCCUUGUCAGGUAAGUUCUGACCCGCACGAAUGGUGUAACGACUGGAGCGCUGUCUCAACAAGGGACUCGGCGAAACUGAAGUAAUGGUGAAGAUGCCAUUUACCCGCACCCGGACAAAAAGACCCCGUGGAGCUUUACUGUACCCUGGCAUUGCGCUAGGGCUUUG
rnacentral:rRNA from 1 species